UGUAGUCACAAACACUUUGAAUGGUAGACAAUAAGUACAUGCAAUUACUUCCAACAACAGCACUAGCCACACAACUUUUCCAAUGAGAAAGUAUAUGCAUAAACAUCACAAUAAGUGGACUAUAAUAGCUUUAAAUACAUUGUCUAGUUUUAACAUCCACAAACAUAUAUGUCAACAUAAUACCUAAAAAGACAACCACAAAUCCAACUACAUUAUUCCCCCCAAAAAAAAUUGUCAAAGCAUAUGUAGCCUUUGACAGCAGAGAUGGGCACUACCAUUAGUCAAUAAUAUUCUGUGUGUUGACUUCGAAAGAACUUUUUACGAUAUCAGGAUUUUCGAGUUGCACGCAUUCGGCCACUGGAUCAUGAAAGCAACUGUUGUUUUCUGAAUCAAGACUCCUGUUUGAUGGAGUGUUGUGACUCGUGGACUCGGAGAAAGAGGCUCCCUGACUACAACAUUGUUGAGGUCAAUACUCAGUCCUCUGCUCGAUCGUUGUGAAGGAUGCAUUU